CUCAGUGCUUUGAUAUCCUUCAGAACUGGUUCGACAAUCACUAUACUACAACAUUUGUCUUAGGAGCCUUAAAAACUCCUAACAUCAGCCAUGGAGAGUAAGGCGGACUCUUCGAGAAGAAGUUAGCAAAGGAAGGUGAAAACUGAAUAUACCUUUGUUCUGGAGUUGACAAUUUUGGACGAACAGUGACAAUUUUGAAAAAGGGCUUCUCUUGAGCGACCAUGAAAGCGGUAUGGAGAAGACCACCGAUCACUUACAUCGUCAAACUAUGAAGUUCGAGAAGUAUUGUCUAACGUGGAGAUCAAAGAUAGAGCAGCAACUGCCGCUGUUGAGGCAGCUCAAAACCCAAGCAAUCUCAGAGUUUAGUUUAAACAUUUACUUGCAAAACUAACUUAUAACUUUGUGAACCUGUUCAUGUAAGGCCAUGGAUUCGUUGCAAGUUAUGAAAACUCAGAUGAUGUGUAUUGCUUACGCAAGCCAAGGCCACCAACCCCCUGAAGAUAACGGUCCUAACCAGUUUCUCUAACACUGCAACGUACACGAGUCCACAAAACCUAAACUCAUUGCAUAGAUCCACUGCAUCAAACGCGAGUUAAUGUUUAUAUAAACUGUGAGCUAAUGUUACCUGGGAGGUUUGUGCAGUAGAGAGAAGAUGAGUUUUCGUCACUCCGGUGGAAAGAAUAUGUAGAUUGUAGCGAAGGCUCUCCACCAGAAGUUGUUCCUAAAAAUAAAUCGAAUAAGCAGUUAAUCGAAGCUCAUUUAGAAACAUAUGUGUCUUCUACUCUAUAUAAUGUUGAAAAGGAGAGAAUUAAGGUGUGCCGGUUAAGGGUGGGCUAAAUGAGGUAGCAUCGUUCUUUGGUGUUUUAGAAUUUGCAUUUAAAAUGAUAAUAUGUUGAACCUUUAAAGUCCUUAUAUCUAGCUUAUGUUUCUGACCAAGGAACCAAAAUACUGUUGGUGUACUUGGUGAGGAGGCAUUGUUUCCUGUAUACUGGAAUGUAGAUAAUCGGCAUGUGCUUAGAGUCUAGAAACUGUGACAGGGACUGUGUUUUGAAUCGUAUUUUUUUUUGUGCUUUCUAUUCAGGAGAACUAGGCCAAGAACUAGAGAGAUCGUUAGAGCUCAAAACAAGGGUGUGCAGAGGCGCCAAAUUGUAAAUUAUGAUGUUAUCUUUUCUUUUUGUUUUAGUACAUCAGUUUGGUCUAUGAUGUUUAAAUCCAUGUUAGUUCUCGAUAUUUUCAUGAUAAUCCAGAAAAGUCCACAUGAUUUGACACCCUUCCCCUCAUUAGGACGACUAAUACAAUAUCUGAUUGUCUUAAAGGAAAUGUUCAUGCAUAGCUGAUACAGAUAUAUCGUUCGCAUGGUCACUUAUUAUGACAUGUUUGACCAAGAAAACACUGGGACUGUUUACGUAUUUGGUAUAUACUAAUAGAAAUUAGAAGCAUAUAUGUAUUCAAAGUUAACCACAUCUUUUUUUUAAUAACAAUUGGUUAUGUAU